rnacentral:rRNA from 1 species
GAUGAACGCUAGCGGCAGGCCUAAUACAUGCAAGUCGAGGGAGAAUGUUGGAUUCGUCUGACAUGAAACCGGCGCACGGGUGCGUAACACGUAUGCAACCUACCUUUAACUGGGGUAUAGCUCAGAGAAAUCUGAAUUAAUCCCCCAUAAGACUACGACAUGGCAUCAUGAUGUAGUUAAAGCUCCGGCGGUUAAGGAUGGGCAUGCGGUACAUUAGCUAGUUGGUGAGGUAAUGGCUCACCAAGGCUACGAUGUAUAGGGGGUCUGAGAGGAUGAGCCCCCACACUGGAACUGAGACACGGACCAGACUCCUACGGGAGGCAGCAGUAGGGAAUAUUGGUCAAUGGACGCAAGUCUGAACCAGCCAUGCCGCGUAAAGGAUGAAGGCCCUAUGGGUCGUAAACUUCUUUUAUUAGGGAAGAAAAAACGGGAUGCGUCCUGUACUGACGGUACUUAAUGAAUAAGGAUCGGCUAACUUCGUGCCAGCAGCCGCAGUAA